rnacentral:rRNA from 1 species
UUGAAUUGAAGAGUUUGAUCAUGGCUCAGAUUGAACGCUGGCGGCAGGCUUAACACAUGCAAGUCGAACGGUAGCAGGAGAAAGCUUGCUUUCUUGCUGACGAGUGGCGGACGGGUGAGUAAUGCUUGGGAAUCUGGCUUAUGGAGGGGGAUAACUACGGGAAACUGUAGCUAAUACCGCGUAGAAUCGGGAGAUGAAAGUGCGGGACCGCAAGGCCGCAUGCCAUGAGAUGAGCCCAAGUGGGAUUAGGUAGUUGGUGGGGUAAAGGCCUACCAAGCCUGCGAUCUCUAGCUGGUCUGAGAGGAUGGCCAGCC